rnacentral:tRNA from 1 species
GGAGGAUUUGCCUAGCGGCCGAAGGCGUUGGUCUUGAAAACCAAAGUGGUGAUGAGCCACCGUGGGUUCGAAUCCCACAUCCUCCG